rnacentral:rRNA from 1 species
GGGGGAAUAUUGCACAAUGGGGGAAACCCUGAUGCAGCAACGCCGCGUGAGUGAUGAAGGCUUUCGGGUUGUAAAGCUCUGUCUUUGGGGACGAUAAUGACGGUACCCAAGGAGGAAGCCACGGCUAACUACGUGCCAGCAGCCGCGGUAAUACGUAGGUGGCAAGCGUUGUCCGGAUUUACUGGGCGUAAAGGGAGCGUAGGUGGAUGUUUAAGUGGGAUGUGAAAUACCUGGGUUUAACUUGGGUGGUGCAUUCCAAACUGGAUAUCUAGAGUGCAGGAGAGGAAAGUGGAAUUCCUAGUGUAGCGGUGAAAUGCGUAGAGAUUAGGAAGAACACCAGUGGAGAAGGCGACUUUGUGGACUGUAACUGACAGUGAGGCUAGAAAGCGUGGGGAGCAAACAGGAUUAGAUACCUGGUAGUCCACGCCGUAAACGAUGGAUACUAGGUGUGGGGGUUUC